UAGGGUAAAUCCAUCGCGAGGUGGAGACACAAAGCCACGGGUCAGUAAUUAUAAACUGAUAGCCGGGUUACAG
rnacentral:ncRNA from 1 species